GACAGAGGCCUCGAGCGUUAGGCGGAAUAACUGGGCUUAAGGCGUGUGUAGGCGGCUCGUUAAGUGUCUUGUGAAAUCCCACGGCUCAACCGUGGAACUGCUGGGCAUACUGGCGAUCUUGGGCCACCUAGGGGCAGUCGGAACAAACGGUGGAGCGGUGAAAUGCGUAGAUAUCGUUUGGAACGCCGAUGGUGAAAACAGACUGCUGGGGGUGUGCCGACGCUGAGACACGAAAGCCAGGGGAGCAAACGGG
rnacentral:rRNA from 1 species